rnacentral:rRNA from 1 species
GUAGGGUGCGAGCGUUGUCCGGAAUUACUGGGCGUAAAGAGCUCGUAGGUGGUUUGUCGCGUCGUCUGUGAAAUUCCGGGGCUUAACUCCGGGCGUGCAGGCGAUACGGGCAUAACUUGAGUGCUGUAGGGGAGACUGGAAUUCCUGGUGUAGCGGUGAAAUGCGCAGAUAUCAGGAGGAACACCGAUGGCGAAGGCAGGUCUCUGGGCAGUAACUGACGCUGAGGAGCGAAAGCAUGGGUAGCGAAC